rnacentral:rRNA from 1 species
GACGAACGCUGGCGGCGUGCUUAAUACAUGCAAGUCGAACGGAGCCCAACCGGUGGCAACACCGGGGAAGGUUCAGUGGCGAACGGGUGCGUAACACGUGAGCAACCUGUCCCGAAGACCGGAAUAACAUCGGGAAACCGGUGCUAAUACCGGAUACCCCCACGAGGUCGCAUGACCUUGUGAGGAAAUGGAUCCCGCUUCGGGAGGGGCUCGCGGCCUAUCAUGCUAGUUGGUGAGGUAACGGCCCACCAAGGCUUCGACGGGUAGCUGGUCUGAG